UGGAAACAGUUUGAGAACAGACACUUUUAUUCGCCCAACAGAUCUUUCUUGGUUGUGAUUUUGUAAAGCGAGUAGACGUCCAAGGUCGAGUCCUUAUUUGCGUAAGCUUACUUUAUCAGUGAAGUGAGCGGUGGCGAACCGGAGAGAGGCACCAUCGAGCUCCCGGGGAAGCCCAGCGUCGACUCACUCUCUGCGGGGUUUGCAAUCUAUUGUUAGCCGCUCUGGAAUGACCUCAACUUUGCUCCUUGUAAACAUUUAAAAGAAGCUUUUGAUCACGAUAGAGAUGAAUUUAAAGAACGGUGCGGUGAUGUGACAAGGGCGACAGAGGAGAAGGAGGAGGAGUGGGGGGGCCACCAGAGCCAUCAAGGGGGGCUCCGGCCAGGUGUUAUCCGUGUGUAGGCACCGAGACGCGGAGGAAACCCCGAGGAUCACGGCCUCUUGCUCGGAUGACACCGGCCACACUCCAGCUCUCAGCUAGCGUCCGCCAAGCUAACCAAUGUCUUCCAAGGACUGGAAAUAAACGUUGGAAAUGGCUUGUUGGAUUUCUUCAUUGCAGCGAGUGCGUGGGACUUGUUAGUGGUUCUAUUCGCCGCCGGAUGGACACCGCGGAGCCGCUGUGCUUCGGGCCGUGAUUGACAGUUUAAAGAGCUAAAGGCUGCCCCAGGCACGAUGGAAGGACUUCACAGCCAGGCUCUAAGUUUGGACCCUCGCAGGCAGGAAUUGCUCGAAGCUCGCUUCACUGGAGUUGGUGUGGCCAAGAUCAACAGUGAAUCAUCCAGCCAGUCUCUUUGCAGUGUGGGGUCCCUCAGCGACAAGGAAGUCGAGACACUGGAGAAGAAGGUCGAGCACAGAAGCAGGAAGAGAAAAGGAGACACGUGUGACACCAACCAUCAGGGAAAGGGACGAGGACACAAAACGAGUGAUUACUUUGAGUUCCAGCAGAGCAGUCCUUCGUCAGCUGGCUCGGCCCACACCGACUCUUCAUCAUGCAGCUCUGUCAAGAUGGUACCCGCGCACUUGUGCUCCCACAAAGCCACCCAGUCUGAGCUGACGCUGCUGAAGCUGACGGCGCUGGAGAGGAACAAGAACUCCGACCUGGAGAAGAAAGAGGGGAGGAUCGACGACCUGCUGAGGGCUAACUGCGACCUGCGGCGCCAGGUGGAAGAGCAGCAGAAGCUGUUGGAGCGCUACAAGGAGCGCCUCAACAAGUGCGUCACCAUGAGCAAGAAGCUCCUCAUCGAAAAGUCAAAGCAUGAGAAGAGGACGUGCCGGGACAAGAGCAUGCAAGAUCGGCUGCGUCUGGGCCACUUCACCACAGUUCGCCACGGCGCCUCCUUCACCGAGCAGUGGGCAGACGGAAUCGCCUUCCAGAACCUCGUCAAGCAACAAGAGCGCGUCAACUCGCAGCGUGAGGACAUAGAGCGGCAGAGGAAGCUGCUGGGGAAAAGGAAGCCGCCCCCCGUGGCCCAGAUGCAGCCGCCCAGCACUGAGCACAACAAACGAAAGAGCAGGAGCAACGGCCAGGAGAAUGAAGCGCUGUCACUUGCAGAGUAUCACGAGCAAGAGGAGAUAUUCAAACUCCGGAUUGGUCAUUUUAAAAAGGAAGAGGCGGAGAUCCAGACGGAACUGGAGCGGUUGGAGCGAGUCCGGAAUCUGCACAUCCGCGAGCUGAAGAGAAUCCACAAUGAGGACAAUUCGCAAUUUAAAGACCACCCGACGCUGAACGACAGAUAUCUGCUCUUGUAUUUACUUGGAAGAGGGGGCUUCAGUGAAGUUUACAAGGCUUUUGAUUUAACAGAGCAAAGGUAUGUGGCUGUUAAAAUCCACCAGCUCAAAAAGAAUUGGCGUGAGGAGAAGAAGCAGAACUACCACAAGCACGCCUGUCGAGAGUACAGAAUACACAAAGAACUGGAUCACCCUCGGAUAGUCAAACUUUACGACUACUUCUCACUCGACACUGACUCCUUCUGCACUGUUCUGGAGUACUGCGAGGGAAACGACCUGGACUUCUACUUGAAGCAAAACAAGCUUAUGACGGAGAAGGAGGGCCGCUCCGUUGUCAUGCAGAUUGUCAACGCGCUCAAGUACCUCAAUCAGAUCCGGCCGCCCAUCAUCCACUACGACCUCAAGCCAGGAAACAUCCUGUUGGUGAACGGCUCUGCUUGCGGCGAGAUUAAGAUCACCGACUUCGGCCUGUCGAAGAUCAUGGACGACGACAGUUACAGUUCAGCGGACGGCAUGGAGCUGACCUCGCAGGGGGCGGGGACCUACUGGUACCUUCCUCCGGAGUGCUUCGUGGUCGGCAAAGAGCCUCCUAAAAUAUCCAACAAAGUCGAUGUUUGGUCACUCGGGGUCAUCUUCUAUCAGAGCUUAUAUGGACGCAAGCCAUUUGGUCACAACCAAUCCCAGCAGGAUAUCCUCCAAGAGAACACCAUACUCAAAGCUACCGAGGUGCAGUUCCCCCCAAAACCUGUUGUCACCCCAGAAGCAAAGACUUUCAUCCGUCGCUGCCUGGCUUAUCACAAGGAGGACCGCGUGGAUGUGCUCCAGUUGUCACGGGAACCUUACCUAAUGCCUGCCAUCCGAAAGACCCUCGCCAGCGUGCCUCCCACUACGCCUCCUUUCCCUUCCACUUCCAACUGCUACGGCAACAGCGCCUCCAACUGAAAACUGCGAGGUGACCCAGGCCAGCCCCCAUUUGAGGUUGGUGAGCAUGAACUUGAGCGCCUUGGUCCACUGCUCCUCUGAGUUGAACUGAGUCUUGAUGGAGUACGAGCCGCCGCUGCCGCCCGUGUCCUCGAUCUUGCCCUUUUCCACGUCCAUCCUGACGUCGCGCACACACGCACAUCCAGAGAUGUGUAAGUACAUAGUUCCUCAAAUAGUGGCUGUUUCGCUAGUCCAACAGAUGUCGUGCCCCAAUUAGACUAAAGCCGUUUUUUUUCCAGUGAGGAAAAACUGUAGUACAGUGGUGCCUUAUCAGUCAAUUUUCCCUAUUGACAUUAAUUGAAAUGUCAAUGGCUGUUCCAGCCUCCCCCACCAAUUUUUAUUUUAUUUUUUUUUACCUGUUUUUAAUAAAGAAAAGUAGCACUGUAUUUCACUCAAAGAAAAUAAUAAAUCUUGAUAAUGUAAAGAAAUGCAAUUUUAUAGUGUAAUUCAUGUUCCAUGGAAACCGAGAAUAGCGAAGAUCUGCGAGUAAUUUUCUAUAGAUGCCUCAACAUGGUGUCAAAGCACUACAUGAAACUCAACUCAAAUGUAUUUAUUGAGCACUUCCUACUUCUGCAAGCAUAAGACCCCACACCUCGUUUAAGAGACUCCAGACAUUCCUCUGUAGGUGCUGCUGUUUAAUUAGCAACAAGAGUUUUCAAUUUGUUGGCUGGCAGCUACGAUCAUCUGACCUGUAUGGAAGACAGAAGCCGGUGUCGCCUUUUUCCACCUCGUCUUUGAACUGCUGCACGCAGUCCAGGAAGGCCACCAUGGCGUGGUCGAACUUAUUGUCCCAGAAGAACCUCAGGCCGCCCGAACAGUACAGCGGAAGUUCCUGAAACAAAAAAAAAAAAAAAAAAAAAAAAAGGAGCAGAGACUCGAGAGAGUGAACCUGAAGGAGAGUUUCAAAGGAUAUCUACCUUUGACUUAUCUGUUAGAGACUCCAGGUAGGAAUGAUUUCCGUAGGGCACGAGGCGAUAUCUGAGGAGAAAAGAAAAGCCACAAUAUCUAAUAUUAGGUAAUUGGUCCAUUAAAAUGUAUUUAUUCAUUCAUCUCAUUAAAAAAAUGUCAGUUGAUUUAUUGUGAAGAAGAAAUAAAAAUAUUAGCAAUAUAAACUAUUUUACAGACAUUUAUUUUACUAGUUGGUAUAUUAAAUAUAAAUACAAAAAUGCAAAAUAAACUCCCCUUUUUCUUUUUUUUUUACUUCUGCAAAUGAUACAAAGGAAGAAGGUACAUUAUUUAGCAUUAUUCUGAGCACCCAUGUGAGCCCCCCGACCUCUGGAAGCGCAGCCCCAUCUUGUUGGCCAGCGCGUGCAGUAGCAGCACCGUCUGCCCCCAGGCCGCGUUGAUCUCGUUCCACUCCACGGGCACGCUCGGAAGUCGACCCAAACGGAAGUUGUUGAUGGUGCCGAACUGGCCGCUGUGCCUGGGCGGGACGGAACCAUUCAAACAUUGAAAGUAUGUUGCAGACCGGACGCAAAAUGUCAUUCAGUGAGCCCCAACGUCCAAAUGGUCCCACUUUGGGGGCUGCACUGUACCACGCGCCACCGACCAGAUGUGAAAGGUGGCGUUGAAGACGUUGGUCUUCUUGAGUCGAUCGAGUUGAAUCUGGCAGUAACGCAUCUGGUUGUCCACGCUCUUAAGCUCGUCGUCCAGCUCCAGCUGUUGACGUUUGAACUCGCUGUACUCUUUCUGGUACCUGACAUACAAAAUACACCACAGUGUACCCCCCUAAUUUAAAAAAAAAAAAAAAAAAAAAAAAAAAAAAAAAAAAGAGUAUCUAAUAGGAAAAUAUUUUUGUUUCAGCUGCGGUGGUUUUUAAAGUGCACUAAAAUUUGAGUUGCCUACUACAUACUAGUACUACUAGUGAAGCGCUAGACGUUAACUCACAGAACUUUAUAAUGUCACUAGUAGUGCUUGCAGCAUGCAGCUGUCGACUUGUGCAGUUUUCCCCUUCAGUAACAUGUAGUUGUACUACUAGUAUACCAAAUUAGUACAUUAAGAUGGAUAUCAAGGAUUUAUAAUAAAUGCCUUUAAAAUGCCCCUGUGCAACUCACUGCAGCUCCUCCGUCUCCAGCUGCUGGGCCUGCGCCCGGCUCUGCGUCAGCUCUUGGGCCACGGCGGCCCGUUGCUCCUCGACCGCCUCCAGCUGCUGCACCAGCGCCGCCUCUUCCUCCUUGAGAUGCUGCAGCUCGUCCAGCAACGUCUCCUCGUCCGCCACUUGCAGCUGCGACAGGAGCUCCAGACACUGCCUGAACACAAUGCAACAAAGUGGUCCAACAGAGUGUCGGUACAUUCCUCACACAACGGGUGGUCCACAUCCGUCUGACCGGACAUGAUGUCAAACAGGCACGUCACCUUGAGUCUGCGGCUUAGAUUUUCCAUGGUGCCUCCGUCGGAAGCGUCGCCGAUCAGCGUGAAGCUGUUGGCGCUCUCUGUGGACAUCAUCCUGCUGACAUGGCCCACAGUGAAAAAUAGCUACACUGUAUAUCUCUCAGCAUACUAGUUUUAGCAUGAUUUUACAGGAAAUAAUGUGCCUCUAAUUUACCCCAGUAGAGUAAUUUGCGUAACCAACUUCGGUAUUUUUUACUUUCUAGCAGAAGCUAGAGCUAAUUCAUAAUUCUUUCAACAAGAACAUUUAAUUGUACACUUUGAUAAAGAUUAAAAAAUAUAUACAAAUAACUAUUGGAAAUUGUAGAAAUUAAGAUAAUUACCAUAUAUUUAAGUAAUAUUUAAAUAAUUGUGUAUCAAGUUGACAAAAUUCAAAUUCUAAACAAAUAUGUACAAAACUAAAAUUCUAAACAAAUUUACAAAAUACACAAAAAUAUUUAUUAUAUAAAAUUAUAAUACAUUUUUUAAAAAUAAAAUUAAAAUGCUUACCGUGCAGGUGGGAUGUAUUUCCUUGACACGCCAUCUUGCUUGUUUUCCGCAAAUGUCUCCUGAAAUUUAAAUGAGUCUGAAUUAAUUUUAUAGGUUAAAAUUACUGCAGUAGAGUACAGUGCAAGGUGCAUUUAUAUUUACCUCUGUUGUAGUGUCUCCUUCACCGCAGUCUGCCUGUUUGCUAGGCGUGACAGUCACCAAAGGAGCUGAGGGGGGCCAUGCAGAAGCAACACAUUGUAACAGAAGGUAGAGGACAGCAACAAUAAAAUAGUAUUCAAAUAAAAUGUAAUUUUAUUUGAUUGUAAAGGAAUUAUUCAGAUAUAUUAUUUGAACUAGAGGAGGAUUUUUUUUUGGGGGGGGGGGGUAUUUGGUGUGAAAAGAUUGAGAACCACUGCAUUAUAUUAUUGUAUUUAACAAUACAUACCAAUCAGUUCGUUGAUGGUGACCCGGUCCAACACAUUGAAGGACGUGUCCAGCUUGAGAGGCUGGCAACACCGCUGACAAACGAAGCUAACUUGCAUCGUUGUGCUCGAUGUCUUGGAGCCCUCCAUCACUUACUACAUGUAGAAAGAAGUGGGGGAGGGGGGGGGGUAGCUGAACAAAAACUCACAAUGUAUCCCGAGUUCGUUUCAUCGUGUCGCUGAGUUGAUUUAGCUUGAUAGCUCGUAGCUAGCAGCGACAUGCUAGUGAAGUCAUUUAAGAUGUGCGGUUACCUUAAAGCUAUAUGAAUUCAUAUAAUACGCCGUAGUAGGGAAACACUGUGGAAAUAAAAUGUGAAUAAAUAUGUAAACAAUUGGCGUGACUGUCGGUGUUCUGCUU